CCUACGGGUGGCAGCAGUGAGGAAUAUUGGUCAAUGGACGAGAGUCUGAACCAGCCAAGUAGCGUGAAGGAUGACUGCCCUAUGGGUUGUAAACUUCUUUUAUAUGGGAAUAAAAUGUUCCACGUGUGGGAUUUUGUAUGUACCAUAUGAAUAAGGAUCGGCUAACUCCGUGCCAGCAGCCGCGGUAAUACGGAGGAUCCGAGCGUUAUCCGGAUUUAUUGGGUUUAAAGGGAGCGUAGGUGGAUUGUUAAGUCAGUUGUGAAAGUUUGCGGCUCAACCGUAAAAUUGCAGUUGAAACUGGCAGUCUUGAGUACAGUAGAGGUGGGCGGAAUUCGUGGUGUAGCGGUGAAAUGCUUAGAUAUGACGAAGAACCCCGAUUGCGAAGGCAGCUUGCUGCAGCGGAACUGACGCUGAUGCUCGAAAGCGCGGGUAUCGAACAGGAUUAGAUACCCGGGUAGUC
rnacentral:rRNA from 1 species